rnacentral:rRNA from 1 species
AUUGAACGCUGGCGGCAUGGCUAAAGCAUGCAAGUCGAACGAGAACCCUUCGGGGGGAAAGUGGCGAAAGGGCGAGUAAUGCGAUCGAACGUACCCUGAGGUGGGGGAUAGCGUCGGGAAACCGGCAGUAAUACCCCAUGUGCUCUACGGAGGAAAGCUUUGGCGCCUCAGGAGCGGCGAUCGUCCUAUCAGGUAGUUGGUGAGGUAACGGCUCACCAAGCCGAAGACGGGUAGCGGGUGUGAGAGCAUGACCCGCCGCAUCGGAACUGAGACACUGUCCGGACUCCUACGGGAGGCUGCAGCGACGAAUCUUCCGCAAUGGACGCAAGUCUGACGGAGCAAUGCCGCGUGUGGGAUGAAGCAUCUUCGAUGUGUAAACCACUGUCAGGUCCUAGGACCAACGACCAGGACCAGAGGAAGGGCCGGCUAACCUCGUGCCAGCAGCCGCGGUAAUACGAGGGGCCCAAGCGUUAAUCGGAAUCACUGGGCUUAAAGCGUGCGCAGGCGGCCUUGCAAGCAUCUCGUGAAAUCCCACGGCUCAACCGUGGAACUGCGGGGUGAACUGCAAGGCUUGAGGCAGGUAGGGGCUGAUGGAACCAUGAGUGGAGCGGUGAAAUGCGUAGAUAUUCAUGGGAACGCCGAUGGGGAAGCCGAUCAGCUGGGCCUGUCCUGACGCUCAGGCACGAAAGCGUGGGGAGCAAACAGGAUUAGAUACCCUGGUAGUCCACGCC